UGUUCUGUGGCGUAAUUGUUGAAAGCGCUGGACUAUCAAUACGAAGUCGUGAGUUUAAAUCCCAUCAGAACCA
rnacentral:tRNA from 1 species